UGCCCACCCGCCGCCCGCCAAUACAAGUAUCAGACGAACUGUGUUACUGGACGAGUGGAACGCAGCUGACCAAUCUUACAUCAUUUCUUCGUGUACAGCGGGGAAUCCAGACUGUAUGCAAGCAGAUACAUACUGUCUAUUGAUGGUGUUAUUGUCAACGAGGACAUUGCCACAUUUGCUGCUGGUCUUGCUAUGCUGUUUGCAAGCUACUACAACUUGAACAUCAUGUACCCUGCAGAAUGUGCAUCUACACUGAAAUUCAUUCAAAGGUGUUUUGUCCGCAUCAACCCUGACAGGUGUAGCAAAGUGGAGAUUAAGAAGAAUUCCAAGAGGUAUUCUCAAAUUCAUCCCAAAGUUCUGAGUUUGAUUAAUGCCCUUGCUGAUGUGGAUUGGAGGAGUUAAGGCCACAAAAGUGUGGUUAUAUGGUUUUGAAGGUUUUGUUUAAUUUUUUGGUUGUGAUUAUUAUUUCAGUUAUGAAAUUUAAAGGAAUAUUUUGAAAGCUGUUCUUAGAAUUUUUGUCUCAUGGAAGU